rnacentral:tRNA from 1 species
GACCGCGUAGCUCAUUUGGCAGAGCAUUGGGCUGGUAUUCCAAAAAGGUCGUAGGUUCGAUUCCCACCGUGGUCA